rnacentral:rRNA from 1 species
CCCUUAGAUGUCCUGGGCCGCACGCGCGCUACACUGAUGCAUGCAACGAGUUUAUAACCUUGGCCUGAAAGGUCUGGGUAAUCUUUUGAACGUGCAUCGUGAUAGGGAUAGAUUAUUGCAAUUGUUAAUCUUGAACGAGGAAUUCCUAGUAAACGCGAGUCAUCAGCUCGCAUUGAUUACGUCCCUGCCCUUUGUACACACCGCCCGUCGCACCUACCGAUUGAAUGGUUCGGUGAAGAUCUCGGACUUCGAUAUUUAUUCUUUAUUGAGUUUAUAUUGUGGCAAGUUAUCUAAACCUCAUCAUUUAGAGGAAGGUGAAGUCGUAACA